rnacentral:rRNA from 1 species
GACGAACGCUGGCGGCGUGCUUAACACAUGCAAGUCGAACGGAAAGGCCCUGCUUUUGUGGGGUGCUCGAGUGGCGAACGGGUGAGUAACACGUGAGUAACCUGCCCUUGACUUUGGGAUAACUUCAGGAAACUGGGGCUAAUACCGGAUAGGAGCUCCUGCUCCAUGGUGGGGGUUGGAAAGUUUCGGCGGUUGGGGAUGGACUCGCGGCUUAUCAGCUUGUUGGUGGGGUAGUGGCUUACCAAGGCUUUGACGGGUAGCCGGCCUGAGAGGGUGACCGGCCACAUUGGGACUGAGAUACGGCCCAGACUCCUACGGGAGGCAGCAGUGGGGAAUAUUGCACAAUGGGCGGAAGCCUGAUGCAGCAACGCCGCGUGCGGGAUGACGGCCUUCGGGUUGUGAACCGCUUUCGCCUGUGACGAAGCGUGAGUGACGGUAAUGGGUAAAGAAGCACCGGCUAACUACGUG